GCCGGGGUGGCGGAACCUGGUUAUCGCGCGGGCUUGGAGAGCCCGUGGUCCUUCGGGACCUUCUGGGUUCAAAUCCCAGCCCCGGCG
rfam:Candidate divison MSBL1 archaeon SCGC-AAA833K04 AAA833K04_Contig_24_C, whole genome shotgun sequence.